ensembl:lncRNA
GGGAUCCUUGGGACUGGUUUGGCACAAGACUUUCCGACCAGGACACAUACAAAAUUUAGCCAGUGAUAGUGGCCCCCUGAGUCAGACCAGGGAGCAGCGGUGAGGGGCUGUCCAUACAAUAGUUAAAUAUACCCCCCUGACACCCCAAACACGCGCUCUAUAUAUAAAGCCACGGGCCUCAGCGUUCCUCUGCGUCGGGGCAACCGGAGACACGCACGGACCCCAAGAUAUGCAUCACAAGACUAUCAACGUACCACCGCCCAGCCCUCUCCUCUCCCCUCCGCUCCCUCCCCGCCGCUCCCUCCCCUGGCACCCUCCACAGACACCCAGCCCCAACCCUAUCCACACGUCUCGGCCGACCCCAAUCUGUCUCGGUGCUAGUGCUCGGUUUGUGGCGGGAUGGGCACCUGAACAUAUAGGUUUGUGCAAGGUGAGACGGGUGCUUCAUGACUGAUCGUUUUCGACAUGUUGACAGGACAUUUGAAAAUGACAGCUGCGAUCUAAACAUUUGUAAUCUGAAGCACUCACCGCCUUGAUUCUUUGAGUUCAUGUGAACAUAUUUUUGGUUAACAUGCUGUAGAGGAGUUUCUGUGUUUCCUAAUCUUAAUUAGCUGUGAAAAUAGGACGUUUCCUUCUUCUUAUUGAAUCAUUGCAUUUCCAGGGAUUUUGAUAUUGAAUCUUGAAUUCACAGAUCUAUUACUUCUAUUCGUACUCAUGCUUCCAAGCUUCCAAAGCCUUAAGGCUGAGAUAAUCUUUGAGAUAUCGUUAUGGUUGGUUGGACUACCCCACUGAAAAAGCCUCAGAUCAUUCAAGUGAUGAAGCAAUUUCUUCAAUUACAUGACCCAUGUUUUUAUAUUGAAAUCGAAAUAAAGCUUUUUGGUAGUGUAUGUGUCCUCAUUUCUCGGCACAUACCCUUAGCGGGGUAAAGGUAAAGGUAACUAGCUAAAGGUAACUAGAACUAGAAUGGUCAGACUUUAUGGGGGGGGACACACCAGGCACUCUUUUACACUAAUAGGGCUGACGUUGUGCGUUGUUUCGCUCAGUAGGCUAUUUGUUUCAGGUCGUGCAUAACAUUGUAAG